rnacentral:rRNA from 1 species
CAGCGGGAUAACCCGGAGAAAUCCGGCCUAAUACCGCAUGUGGCCGAGGGAAGGCAUCUUCUUUCGGCCAAAGGAGGCGACUCCGGAGACGGAUGGGCAUGCGUGACAUUAGCUUGUUGGCGGGGUAACGGCCCACCAAGGCGACGAUGUCUAGGGGUUCUGAGAGGAAGGUCCCCCACACUGGUACUGAGACACGGACCAGACUCCUACGGGAGGCAGCAGUGAGGAAUAUUGGUCAAUGGGCGAGAGCCUGAACCAGCCAAGUCGCGUGAAGGAUGACGGCCCUACGGGUUGUAAACUUCUUUUGUCAGGGAGCAAUUGGGUCCACGUGUGGGCUUAGCGAGAGUACCUGAAGAAAAAGCAUCGGCUAACUCCGUGCCAGCAGCCGCGGUAAUACGGAGGAUGCGAGCGUUAUCCGGAUCUAUUGGGUUUAAAGGGUGCGUAGGCGGAAUAUCAAGUCAGCGGUAAAAAUUCGGGGCUCAACCCCGUCGUGCCGUUGAAACUGAUGUUCUUGAGUGGGCGAGAAGUAUGCGGAAUGCGUGGUGUAGCGGUGAAAUGCAUAGAUAUCACGCAGAACUCCGAUUGCGAAGGCAGCAUACCGGCGCCCAACUGACGCUGAAGCACGAAAGCGUGGGUAUCGAACAGGAUUAGAUACCCUGGUAGUCCACGCAGUAAACGAUGAAUGCUAAUUGUCCGGAGGGAUUGACCUCUGGGUGAUACAG